GGGCCUAUAGAUCAGUUGUAGAGCAUUUGAUUGUAGAUCAAGAGGUCACCGGUUUGAACCCGGUUGGGCCCU
rfam:Picea glauca, whole genome shotgun sequence.